rnacentral:rRNA from 1 species
CCUACGGGGGGCAGCAGUGAGGAAUAUUGGUCAAUGGGCGGAAGCCUGAACCAGCCAAGUAGCGUGCAGGAUGACGGCCCUACGGGUUGUAAACUGCUUUUAUACGGGAACAACGCGCCUUACGUGUAGGGCUUCGCAUGUACCGUAUGAAUAAGGACCGGCUAAUUCCGUUCCAGCAGCCGCGGUAAUACGGAAGGUCGGGGCGUUAUCCGGAUUUGUUGGGUUUAAAGGGUGGGUAGGCCGCAUGUCAAGCGUGCUGUGAAAUUUCCGGGCUCAACCCGUGCCUGGCAGCGGAAACUGGCGUGCUUGAGUGCGCGGAAAGCAGGCGGAAUGCGUCGUGUAGCGGUGAAAUGCUUAGAUAUGACGAAGAACCCCGAUGGCGAAGGCAGCUUGCUGCAGCGGAACUGACGCUGAUGCACGAAAGCGCGGGUAUCGAACAGGAUUAGAUACCCUGGUAGUC